AUAUGAGUUGAAUUUUUAGGAUAUAAAUAGAAAUUUUAGGAUAUGACUUGAACUUUUGUGGAUAUGAAUUGAACCUUUAGGAUAUAAAUUGAACUUUUAGUUUAUGUUUAAACUCGUAGGAUAAGAAUUGAUGAACUUUUAGUUUUUAGGUUUUGUUCUUGUGAAUUGAACUUGUACGAUAUAAAUGAACUUUUUAGGAUAUGAAUUGAAACUUUUAGGAUAUGAGUUGAACUUUUAGGAAAUAAAUUGAACCUUUAGCAUAUGUAUUAAAACUUUAGGAUAUGACUUGAAUUUUUAGUUUAUGUUUAAACUCGUAGGAUAUGAAUAUAACUUUUAGUUUUUAGGUUUUGUUCUUGUGAAUUGAACUUGUAGGAUAUAAAUUGAAACUUUUAGGAUAUGAUUUGAAUUAUUAGGAUAUAAAUAGAAAUUUAGGAUAUGACUUGAACUUUUGUGGAUAUGAAUUGAACCUUUAGGAUAUAAAUUGAACUUUUAGUUUAUGUUUAAACUCGUAGGAUAAGAAUUGAUGAACUUUUAGUUUUUAGGUUUUGUUCUUGUGAAUUGAACUUGCAUGAUAUAAAUUGAAAUUUUACGAUAUGACUUGAACUUUUAACGAUAUGAGUUGAACCUUUAAGAUAUGACUUGAACUUUUGUGGAUAUGAAUUGAAGGUUUAGGAUAUGAAUUGAACUUUUAGUUUAUGUUUUGGAAUUUUAGAUUGCCGGAGGAUUAUUAGAAGAGGUUGAUGACGUUAUUAGACAUGCAAUAGAACUUCCACCAAGAAUAACUAAGACACAGUACCUGGCAAAGUGUGCCUUUAAUUGUUCUUCUCAUUAGCGACAAUGAUGAUGAGAAGGCAAUGGCAUGUGUUUCAAAUAGUGAUGGUGUAGGUAGGAAUUUAGUAUUUUCUAAGUAGAUAAAAGAAGAGCUUAUAGAGUAAUUCUUACUUCAUUUUCCAUGAGGAAAAGAAGUUUAAUUGAGAGUGACAAGGUUGAUGAUGACAGAAUAUGUUCCGUUGGUCAUGGCAGUUCCCAUAGAAUGGGGAUCAUAAGACUCUAUGAUGACAGAGAUUAUAGGAAGUUUUGUUCUAAAUUUUCUUUCA
rnacentral:lncRNA from 1 species